AAAAAUGUAAACCCUAGUUGUCCCUUUUUCUCUCUAUCACCGUAAAUAGCUUAUAUUGAUCUAGCAAUAUGUCAUUCUUGAUUCUUCGGGUUUGCUUUUGUGUGGACUAAGUAAGUGCGUGUAUAUACUUGAUUCGGCUUGCGAAGAAAUCAUUUCUUCGAAGGGAAGGAGCUAUCCAUAGACGUAUAAUCUAUUUCCUUGAUAAUGGGAAGGAAAGGAAAGGAAAAAGGCGGGUUAAAAAGACAAACGAAAAUUGCAGAAGGUGAAACGGUGGAAGAUGGUGGUGGAGGGGUGGCGGGAAUGUGGAGAAAUAGUGGAAAAGAGGGAGAAUAUGUGGAGGAAGAUGGAGGUGGAGAUGGGUUGGCUGGAUGAAUAUGAAUGUUGAAUGCGGUUGGUUUGCCAACCUAUAGAGAAGUGAGAGGAUUUUCUCUCACUCAUCAAGUCUAUAUGUUUUAGUGCGCCCGAAUUAUUGUAUUUUCACUAAAUGUGAAUUGGAUGAACAUUAAAUUUGUUUACUGGUGGCAUUCAAGGCCAUUUAUUAACAAAUAAAGGAGUAAUUUCAAUUA